AGCGGCGGACGGGUGAGUAACGCGUGAGUAACCUGCCUCAUACAGGGGGAUAACAGUUGGAAACGGCUGCUAAUACCGCAUAAGCGCACAGUACCGCAUGGUACGGUGUGAAAAACUCCGGUGGUAUGAGAUGGACCCGCGUCUGAUUAGGUAGUUGGUGGGGUAACGGCCUACCAAGCCGACGAUCAGUAGCCGACCUGAGAGGGUGACCGGCCACAUUGGGACUGAGACACGGCCCAA
rnacentral:rRNA from 1 species